rnacentral:rRNA from 1 species
AUUGAACGCUGGCGGCAGGCCUAACACAUGCAAGCCGAGCGGCAGCGGAAAGUAGCUUGCUACUUUGCCGGCGAGCGGCGGACGGGUGAGUAAUGUCUGGGAAACUGCCUGAUGGAGGGGGAUAACUACUGGAAACGGUAGCUAAUACCGCAUAACGUCGCAAGACCAAAGAGGGGGACCUUCGGGCCUCUUGCCAUCAGAUGUGCCCAGAUGGGAUUAGCUAGUAGGUGGGGUAACGGCUCACCUAGGCGACGAUCCCUAGCUGGUCUGAGAGGAUGACCAGCCACACUGGAACUGAGACACGGUCCUGACUCCUACGGGAGGCAGCAGUGGGGAAUAUUGCACAAUGGGCGCAAGCCUGAUGCAGCCAUGCCGCGUGUAUGAAGAAGGCCUUCGGGUUGUAAAGUACUUUCAGCGGGGAGGAAGGUGUUGAGGUUAAUAACCUCAGCAAUUGACGUUACCCGCAGAAGAAGCACCGGCUAACUCCGUGCCAGCCGCCGCAGUAAUAC